CUCUAUGGCCAUAGCACCCCGAAUGCGCCCGAUCUCGUCUGAUCUCAGAAGCUAAGCAGGGUCGGGCCUGGUUAGUACUUGGAUGGGAGACAAUUACCAACCUUCAAGGAAGCUGACU
rnacentral:rRNA from 1 species